rnacentral:rRNA from 1 species
CCUACGGGAGGCAGCAGUGGGGAAUAUUGGGCAAUGGGCGCAAGCCUGACCCAGCAACGCCGCGUGAAGGAAGAAGGCUUUCGGGUUGUAAACUUCUUUUCUCAGGGACGAAGCAAGUGACGGUACCUGAGGAAUAAGCCACGGCUAACUACGUGCCAGCAGCCGCGGUAAUACGUAGGUGGCAAGCGUUAUCCGGAUUUACUGGGUGUAAAGGGCGUGUAGGCGGGGACGCAAGUCAGAUGUGAAAACCACGGGCCCAACCUGUGGCCUGGAGUUGAAACUGUGUUGCUUGAGUACUGGAGAGGCAGGCGGAAUUCCUGGUGUAGCGGUGAAAUGCUGAGAUAUUGGGAAGAACACCGGUGGCGAAGGCGGUCUGCUGGACCGCAACUGACGCUGAGGCGCGAAAGCGUGGGGAGCGAACAGGAUUAGAUACCCUUGUAGUC